GUGGGUGAUAAGAUUCAUAGUCGAAAGGGCAACAGCCCAGAUCGUCAGCUAAGGUCCCUAAAGGUAAGUUAAGUGGUAAAGGAUGUGGGAUUGCACAGACAACCAGGAUGUUGGCUUAGAAGCAGCCACUCAUUCAAAGAGUGCGUAAUAGCUCACUGGUCGAGUGAUCCUGCGCCGCAGAUUUCCGGGGCUAAAACUUACUACCGAAGCUACGGCAUCAGUAAUGAUGGGUAGGGGAGCUUCCCAUACGGGUUGAAGCAUGACCGUAAGGACAUGUGGACAGUAUGGGAGUGAGAAUGUUGGCAUGAGUAGCGAGAUGUGGGUGAGAAUCCCACAGGCCGUAAACCCAAGGUUUCCAGGGGAAGGUUCGUCCGCCCUGGGUUAGUCGGGACCUAAGCUGAGGCCGAAAGGCGUAGGUGAUGGACAACAGGUUGA
rnacentral:rRNA from 1 species